AUAUAGUUUAUAUUCCUGGGAUUCUAAAUCAGACCUUGAAUAUUUUUGAUAUAAUUGUUUAUAAUUAUCUAGAACUAGUACCUUUGUAGACUUUCAUCCUACUCAGUUUUAAGAACUCUACGGGCCCUACUCUGUACUGCGUUUUGAGAACAAAUAUUUUCUAGUACUUACGAAAUGACAAAUCCGCAUUCGGAAUGUUAUCAGCGUUCGAAAACGGUAAUUAUGUUUUUAUACCAAGAGAUAACGGAUUGCAAUUCGAAGGUCGUUUUUAAAGCACUCAAAAGAAAGUUGUGUUAAUUUGUGUGCAAUAAAUAAAAUGGAAUCAUCAGCGAAAAAUGUGCAUACAGAGCCAAAGAAAUUUAAAAUUAUAGUGGAAUUCAUGUGUGCUCAUCCCGUCUUACGAGUACGAAUUCAUAAAUGAAUCGAAUAUAUGAUUCGAAGAUUCAUAUAAUUAUAUCUAUCUUUCAACACAAAGUAUCCAGCAUACUGAUAUCCAUUAUCUUGAAAUGGAAGUACAGGAUUAUAUAUUUUGCGGUUUCAAAAGUAAACUUAAAUAAAACAUAUAAAAUAUUUUUUUUCAUGAUAUUUCCUUUUUAUUAUAAAAUUUUAACGUUGACAUUAUGUGUAAAACACUACAUCAUUUAAAUGACAACCACGAGAAUUGUUGGAAGCAUCAAUCGUUUGAGUGCUCACACUGCGCCUCUUCAUAAUAAGGGUAGUAAUAUCCCCUUGAAUGUGUGCUUAUUAUACAAACAAAAUAGGACAAACACAACACAAAGGAUCCACCGGCGGCGCGGCGGCGGGCGCGCGUGGCCCCGCCCACCGAUUUUUUUCUUUUAUCCAAAAGAAAUCAACGUUAAGACAAAAAUUAAAAGAAAUCGUUGGAGGAGGAAUGUCAGUUUGAAUUUUAUAGUUCGCACUUAAUUUCGACAGCUCAACUGUGUGGUAACCGGGUAAAUGUGUGUGACCUGAAAUUACUAUCAUACCAACACAGACAAAAAAAGUAUUCGGAUGAUGUAUUGCAUCUUUAACAGGAACACAUCAUCCGAUGCACCUAUCCACACAGUGUAUAGUCCCUGGCCAUAUUAUUAGACGUACUUUAGAUUUUAUGCAAAAUCUUAAUUUUCAGUUAUUUUUAACUGGUUUUUGAAUAUUGUAAUGCAAUUAAAUUAUUUUGUAAGUAGAAUAUAAACUACUUUCCAGAAAUAAAGCAACAUAUUUAAAGAUUUUUUUUUAAUUAAAUUAUUUGCAGUUUUUGUUGUUAUUUUUUUUUAAUUUUUUUCAAUAUUUUGUUAAACCUCUUUUUCUUUGAUAAGAGCCUCAAUUCUGCGCGGCAUACUGUCAAUGCAUGGUUUGACUGUUUCCUGCAUUUUUGUGUGGUGAUUCCUUACGUGAAUUACUCUUUCAAUAAGUGACCGCAUCUUUAACUACUUACCUCUUCAUCAGCUCCCACACGUUUUCAAUUGGGUUCAUAUCAGAGGUGUUUCCCAGCCAGUCUAACAGAGUGAUUUUUUUCCCUCAAAUAAGUUUUUAUCGACCGCUCUGUGUGGCAUGGAGCCCAAUCUUGCAUAAAAAUGUAAUUAUACAUUAAUUCUUGAACGUUACAAAUAUUGCGAAUAAUCUUAUAAUUAUAAAAAGUCUGCAGCGCGUCUAAUAAUAUUACCAGGGACUGUAAACCUCAACCAACAUUAUCACACUCAAAUAGUGGGAGACCACGUAGGUAUUAGUACAUUUCAAACAGAAUAGGGGAAUCAGUGUCUCAAGAACCAAGAGUGCGUUCCAAAACUGCGAGUUGACUAAAUGAAGAACAAAACAACCCGAGACGAGAACACUACAAAAAUCCAUACACAUAAUUACAAAACCUAUAAAUAAAAAUCACUAAUCACAGCAAUGACAUUUAUUAACAAUCAGUCAUGAAACUAAACACGGACAUAAAACAAAGUUUCAUUCACAUGCAACUUAACCCUUUAACCAACUUAAAGCCUAGUACAUACUUGUGAACCAUCUCGUGAACCCAUACAAAUUUCAGUUUUUGGUUCACCCGUGAACUUGCUCGUGAAGCUGAGUGGAGAACAAAGUGGAGAGUUUUCGUUCACGGGCAAUUCACGUGCAAAAUGUACGGGAACUGUUGGUGAAGCUGAAGUCAAAUGUUCACAACGUGUACUCACAAGUGUGUACCAGUGAGCAAUGUCAAAAGUUCACUUUCUCCACUGGCGAACGUUCACUUCACGAGGAAGUAUGUACUAGGCUUAAAGGACAGUACACAAAACCCAGGUCUCCUCCGGAACGCACUCAUUGCUUUCCCAUGAAAUUUCUCUCCACUAAGGUAUGGAGAAUUUCCAUGUAGACCAACAACGAGGCCAUUGACAGCUACGUAACUCAGUAUUACAAUUACAAAACAUAAACAACACAACAACAUUUGGGCGUGAACAACAAAAUUUGUUGUUUAUUGAGAUAUACUGUCAAUAAAUAGUUAAAACAAAACUUCUGGAUGCCUUGGAAAUAGAUAAGGAUGACGACAAUAUACGGGGAGUACAAGUGAUGCUGAGAGGGAUUACUUGAGUGUGUGUAAGAACCCACGACUUAAGCAGGGCAAAAUAUUAUCCUUCUACAAUUCAGUAAAAGUACCUAUUUCAUACGUUGCAACGCAACAUGCAAAUAUAUGACCAAACAAAGAAAUACCUAAUAUCCGCAAAAAUGCAUUUGCCGACGUACAAAUAUCAAAAAUUCUCCGCAAUCAUAAAAAGCGUCAAAAGUAUGAGAUCAUAAAGAUGUCAUCAGAAACACAUAAUUGUUUUUAAAAACCAACAAUCAAACUGUGGUAGUUAAGUCACGUAAAAGUCUACGAUGUUGCUCGUCGUUGGGGUCCGCCCACUAUGCGAUGCUCUUUUUUUGUGCAUUUACCUAUGCACAUCUAAUGGUCAAGCAUGAUGUUGGUGGACGAGGAUGAAGGUGAGGUACAGGGGGAAGCAUUUAAUUUGCAUAAUGACGAAGAUGAUCCUUAAUCCCAACGAGGGUCAAUAGACACAUGGAUGACCAACGGAAAGAACAGCUUUCCUGGGCGAAACCGAGGUUUCAUGAAGACGAUGACGAUGCUGUGUGGCGUAUAAUAAAUUUGAAAGUCAUGUAGGAAAGUUAAAUAACAAUAAAAUUUAAACUACAUUUUAAACCCUUCGAACGAAAAACCAAGUUUUUUAUUUUUUGCAACUAAUCGAAUA